GAAACUUGAUCGUGAAGAUCCAAGUGUUGGUUCUGGAUUCAAAACCAGUUCCAAAUCCUGUUCAAAUUCUAAAAGCGCUUCUAAAAGUGGUUGUGCUUCCAAAGCGGUUCUGCUUCCAAAACCAGUUCUGGAUCGAAGGAAAGCUUAGACUACAAAACAGGCACAAAUUCCAAAGUCAGUCCCAACUGUAAGUCCGGGAUGGGUUCCAGAGAUAGCCUUGAUUUUAAAACUGCAACUGAAAUCAAAGCAAGUAAAAACUGUCCAGAUUCUAAGACCAUUGUGGGUUUGAAAUCUGGCAUGGGGUCAAAAGGCAACCUGGAUACUAAAACUCCUUCAGACUCUAAUUCUGGUUUCCUUUCCAGUUCUAAACCCGGUCCAACCCGUUCGACUUCUAAACCUUCUCUGGUUGCCUCUGGCUCAAAGAUGGACCCUGUUGAGUCUAUCUCCCCAUUGUCCUCUAUAACUGGGUCCAAAGACUGUAACCUCAAGGCCACAAGCUCCAGUACUAAACCUAGUCCAGGUCCUAAAGCUGGUUCAGAUUCUUCCAGGACUGAACCAUUUUCUUCUAGCUCAAAGUCAGCUCUGGCGGAUUUGUCUCCCUCCUUGAUGCUCUCUCCGAGACCAAGUCCAGCAAAUGGGUCUGGUCCUGGCAAAACUAUUGGUUCUAUUCCGGCUGGACCAACAAGGGAGGUCCCAAGGAGUCCUGGUUCUGCACCAGAUUCCGAUGCAGGCCUGCUGGCUCCUCUGGCCUCCUCCAGCCCCAAAAUCCGAACCACUGUUUCCUUGACAAUGACGAGAGCAUCCACACCAUCUGUUGCUGUGGAAACUAACGCCAGCAUGACACCUCAUAAUACCAGUCUAAUUCAGGGUCUCACCUUUGACUCUAUCACCAAGACAUCGGCGAAAACAUGUGACGAGGAAGAAAGGGUGGACGUGAGGAGAGUAGGCACCACGCUGAGUCACCUGGGAGACGCAAAUGGCAGCGGUAGCAACAUCCCAUCAUCAAGGGCAACGGGUGUGGGAAGUGAGAAGGAAGAGAAGAAGACUUCAUCUCCCCUCCAUCCUCUUCCUCAGCUUUCCACUCAUCCAGCGAGCUCCAAGACAGUAAGGGAGACAGCGACCAUGACUGACCCGAGUGAGAGGCUCAAUCAGCAGGGAGGGGAGCGGAGAGAGGUGGGCGUCCAAGUGGAGGUGGAGGUUGUUGAACGCUUGGCUUCCACCAGCUUCAGUUUGCACAGGGGAGCUCCCUACUCCUCCCUGAUUGGCUCUCCCAGCUGUCAGUCAGGUUGUUUGACUUCGCCGACGGUCCCGUCACUGUGCUGCAUCCCUGCCGGGCAGCCGCCUUUCCAACACGUCUGCAAGAUCGACAUCGAGCUGUGCAGCCGAUCAGUUCUUCCCUCUGUUGUGACUGACCAGGCUAGUUCCCUCCCCGCCUGUCUGCGUACGUACAGCUUCCAGCAGAGCCCCACCCUCGCACGACUCGGACAAAACCAAGACGUAAGUGCUGAGAGCAUCUGGGAGGAAGAGGAGGAGGGAGUAGGGAGGAAACACAACAACGAGGAAGUGGAAGGUGACGCAGAGGAACAGGAAGAGACGGUGAAGCCACAGAAGGUGGUGUGGGACGACCAAGGGAGGACGUGGGAGGUGUACGGCGCCACAGUGGACCUGGAGUCCCUGGGCACGGCGAUUCAGUCUCACCUAGAGUCAAAGAUUCGGGAGCAGGAGAAACACAUCUGGACUCUGAGGAAGUCAAUUUGCUCCGACAGCAGCCUCCGAGCGUACACGAUGAAGAAGAGGAUAAGCGGGAUUCUGGGAUGCUGCAGAAAGGCGCCCGCUGUGGCAGACUGAGACCUGUACAGAAAGUUAGAAAUCCUUCGUACACAAGUUGUUCACUGUUUACAGCACGCACCUCUUCACUGGCCUGCAUGUAGUUCUACAAUAUUCAUUUCUACAAAUAGAGUAGAAAUAAAACCCUGGUGCACACAAAACAAACAAGCUCCAAGUAGCUAAAAUAUCAACAUUCAUGGAACUGUUGUUUUACUUUACGUCAUUUACGCCGACGUUUACAUGCAAAUACAUGAAAAUGAAUAUUCCACUAAUAUUCCCGUUUACGUGCAGACAGCAAUUUGUAACAUACUACGAGCCGCUUUUUAGCAUCGAAAUAGGAGUUUUUCAAAGUUUUGGAGUAUUUGCACAUAUUCAAAAACCUGUUGAUGUCCAAGACUUUCAUAAUGUUUAAACGUAAGUUCUCCUUCCGACCAUCAGGGGUUUUCUUUUGGGCAUGCACCCCUAAUUCAGAAUAUCAAAACGUAUAUGCUGUUUACGUGUACAGUAUUGUCAUAUUCUGAAUAACAGUGGGAUAUUAGGAAAGCUUGUAAACAUAAACAACGUAUUUAUUUAUUCUUUAUGGGGUUUUUUUAAAGUGUAAAAUGUGGAAGACGUUUGUCAACACCAGAGGAAUAUUUAUUCACUAUAGCAGAAGUAAAAAGCAUAAAACAAGCAGCAGUUAUAACUAAUAACAUACAUCUAGCUAUUUAAAAUAAAAUUUAAAGUUCCAGUUUUCUGAAGUGGAGCGAAGAGGACAGCAGCUCUCGACUCACUGGUGGUAAAUAUUUCAUCCGCUUCCUUCACACCGCCAUCCCACUCAAGCACUCAGGAAGCUGUGUGUGUGUGUGUGUGUGUGUGUGUGUGUGUGUGUGUGUGUGUGUGUGUGUGUGUGUGUGUGUGUGUGAGUAUUUUGAGUUGCUUGGUCAAACAUUGUAAUUUAACAGUGCAUCAAUGUGAACUGUACAACAUAUUUAAAUUCUCCUUUCUUUUGUUAUAUUUGAGGCCCCAGUGGGAGUUCAUACUAACAUAAACUUUUAGUGCACUAUCUGUUGUCUCCCUUUGCAGACACGUCCUCCCCGUUGCUCUUCUAGCUCCCUGCUGUCCUCUGUCGUGGAGUCGUGUUGUUGAUGCAGCACCGGGUUGCUUCUCUGAAUUAUUCAGAAACAUUAAAGUCACGCUCAUGUUAACGACA
rnacentral:lncRNA from 1 species